GGUCAGAUUGAACGCUGGCGGCAGGCCUAACACAUGCAAGUCGAGCGGUAGAGAGAAGCUUGCUUCUCUUGAGAGCGGCGGACGGGUGAGUAAUGCCUAGGAAUCUGCCUGGUAGUGGGGGAUAACGUUCGGAAACGGACGCUAAUACCGCAUACGUCCUACGGGAGAAAGCAGGGGACCUUCGGGCCUUGCGCUAUCAGAUGAGCCUAGGUCGGAUUAGCUAGUUGGUGGGGUAAUGGCUCACCAAGGCGACGAUCCGUAACUGGUCUGAGAGGAUGAUCAGUCACACUGGAACUGAGACACGGUCCAGACUCCUACGGGAGGCAGCAGUGGGGAAUAUUGGACAAUGGGCGAAAGCCUGAUCCAGCCAUGCCGCGUGUGUGAAGAAGGUCUUCGGAUUGUAAAGCACUUUAAGUUGGGAGGAAGGGUUGUAGAUUAAUACUCUGCAAU
rnacentral:rRNA from 1 species